rnacentral:rRNA from 1 species
GACAGAGGGUGCAAACGUUGUUCGGAAUUACUGGGCGUAAAGCGCGUGUAGGCGGCCCUGCAAGUCGGGUGUGAAAUCCCACGGCUCAACCGUGGAAGUGCACUCGAAACUGCAGGGCUAGAGUCCUGGAGAGGAAGGUGGAAUGCUUGGUGUAGAGGUGAAAUUCGUAGAUAUCAAGCGGAACACCGGUGGCGAAGGCGGCCUUACUGGACAGUGACUGACGCUGAGACGCGAAAGCGUGGGGAGCAAACAGG